AUGCAUUCAAAUCUGAAGUUGGUGUUAAUUGACUUGUGUAUUUGGUGGUUUUUCCUUUGUUUAAUGGAAUGCACUGCAGUGUUCUUGUCAAAAAAAAAGGAGAAGAAAUAUAUACAGAGCUCGAAUUCAUCCAUAAAACUCUUGGCAUUCAAUCUAUAUACAGAUGAAACUGACAGUUUACAGUUGAAAAGUUGUCAGCCCCACAUUCUAACCUAUCAGCGCCACAUUAUAACCCAGCCAGUGAAGCAUAUUAAUUCCAGCCUAUCAGCUCCAGGACUUGUAAAGCGAUCACAUUCUAACCUAUGA
rnacentral:rRNA from 1 species